UGAUCUUGCAAAGCAGCUGGUUCCAGGUCCCUGGAUUGAAAAAACAGGCAAAGACAUAGAGGAGCUUCUGAGACAGACACAUGCAAAUGACUGUGGCAUUUUUAUGAUAAUGGUAAGCUUUCAAACAUGGAACUUUCAAAUUAGCUGAACAUAUUUUCAGUACCUUAACCUGUUUAAUGUUUCUGACACAGUACGCCUGGUACCUCAUUCUUAGUGAUCCAUUUGACUUCACUGUUGUAAGUUGAACCGAUAAUUUGAUCGUUACAGUUCCUGUAAGUUUGACAAACUAGUUUGGAUAUUUAAAGUAGCAGCAACAUACAUGUACAUGAAGUUAAUCAUUGUGGAUUUGUGGAAUGUGCUCUUCCUAUAAGGACGACAUGCCAGUUCUGCGGAGAUGGUGGUGUUCCGUUACUAUGGAAAACCUAAUCCUGGAAGGGCAUGGGAGAAGGUUUGCCCAUUUCACUAAGGAGGGAAAGGACAUGAUUUCUGGCCG